CCAGAGCACAUCUGCAAAAUGUCCACAGAACUUGCUUUUUAUGCUGCAGCAACCCACAAGAAUUGUGUUGCCAACACAGCUGUGUGGACCUGGGAAAAGAGGAGGAAUCAUAUUUCUGUCUGCAAGAACUAUGCCCACAAAACCCUCUAAUGUAGAUUCAGGAAUAGCAGCAAAAAGUCUUUUUCCUGGGAUACACUAUUUCAUUUUGGGAGCUAGUAUAAGCUCAGCUGCCAAACAUUUUGUGUUGAUGACCAUAGGAGUGUUUGCCUGGAUAGCUCAACUGGAGCAGUUACAUCAGCAAAUCCUUUU